CUGUGGGUUGUGCCUCUUACUAGCUAGCAGUCCCAACAAUGAUGGCUUUCACAGAGAUCAAAGAUAAUUAGGGUCGGGGGUGGGGGGGGUGAGAGGACUUAACAAACAUCUUUGGAAUUUAACAGAACAUUUAUGGAAGUAAUUUGAGUUCAUUAUCACAGAAUCACACAACACAGAAUAAAGUAAAUUGUUUAUGCCCCUUCUCCCACUCUAGUUUCCUUGUCUGUGGGAAACCGGUAGCCACAGAAACAUGGGUGUGUCUGUGCAGACGUGUGGCUGUGCUUACGCUCCUGCAAACGCAGAUGGUCUCUUUGUUUUCUAAAGCUAUCACACUCUGUAUGUUGUUCUGCAGCUUGAUUAUUUUUUAAAUUCAAUUUAUGGACAAAUUAGUAUAUAAAAGUUUUACCUUUUUAUUUAACCAAAUUAUUAGCCAUACCUCUGUUAAUCUUUCAAACAGGAUAGUUUGAAAGUCUGAAUAAGGAGCCACUGGUGUCUUCUCCUCCAUCAGGUGACUCUCCUUUCCCAGCCCUGCCGCAGUUGGGAGGUGUCAUCUCUGGAGAAACUGAGUCAGAGUGUAUGGACUGAUGAACAAUGAGGAAGGGAAGGUGGGGUGAGGUGCCAAACCAAAGGCAGUAGGACCAGACAGGAGUCUGUACUAUACCAUGAGGCCCCAAACUUCCUUUCCCCUUCAAUUCCAGAAUUCUGUGGGUACAGAUAAAGAGUUUGGAGGAUCUUUGAAGAAACUGAGCUACUACAGAAAAAAGACAUACAGAUACUAACAUUUGGUCACAAAUGAAAAAGCUCCCUGGAGCCUAUAUACCAAAAUUCCAAAUGAAAUAUCAGCUAACCAAUUCAAUAGUGUAUUGAGAAUAUACACAUUACAAACAAGUACUGUUUUUCCCAAAAAUACAAAGAUGGUUUAACAUCAGAAAACCUACCAAAUGAACACAACAAACGAGGUAUAACAUGAUCUCAGUUGAUACAGAAAAAUAAUUUGGUUAAGUUCAGUGCCAUUAUAUGUUUUAAAGUCUCAGUAAAACAAUGGUAAAAGGAACUUCCUUAAUUUGACAAAAGUUAUGUAACAAAUCUACAGCAAAUAUAGUCAAUUGAAAAGACUAACUUAGUUGCAGAGGUUCUGAUCAACAGGAUAAGGAAAGAAAAACUAAAUAUAAGAAUUAAAAAGGAAAAGAAUACUUUUUCACUGAUAUAAUCAGAUACAAGAUGAAUCUAUCAAAUUAAAUUGUAUUUCCCUAUACCAGCAAUAACCAACUAGAAAUAUAAGAAAUAAUAGCAGAAGAAAGCAUAAAGUUUCUGAUAUUUAACUGAAACUCGAAUAUGAAGAACCUCUAUGGGAGAUCCAAAUAAAUGGAAAGACAGUCUGUAUUCUUAUGUGAGAUCUAAUAUUAUCAGGAUGAUAAUCUCCCACUCACAUUGAUUUAUAAAUUCAGUGCUAUUCCAGUAACUGGAGAGCAAAUUACCCCAAAAUU